UGGGGAAUAUUGGACAAUGGGGGAAACCCUGAUCCAGCAAUGCCGCGUGAGUGAUGAAGGCCUUCGGGUUGUAAAGCUCUUUUAUCAGGGACGAUAAUGACGGUACCUGAGGAAUAAGCUCCGGCUAACUUCGUGCCAGCAGCCGCGGUAAUACGAAGGGAGCUAGCGUUGUUCGGAAUUACUGGGCGUAAAGGGCGCGUAGGCGGUUUAGUAAGUCAGAUGUGAAAUCCCCGGGCUUAACCUGGGAACUGCAUUUGAUACUGCUGAACUAGAGAACGAGAGAGGAAAGUGGAAUUACGAGUGUAGAGGUGAAAUUCGUAGAUAUUCGUAAGAACACCAGUGGCGAAGGCGACUUUCUGGCUCGUGACUGACGCUAAGGCGCGAAAGCGUGGGGAGCAAA
rnacentral:rRNA from 1 species